GGCUGGUUUGUGCUGCCUAACCUGGACUGACCGUGCGGCUGGCUGAGGCUGCACACCUGUUGCACAUUGAGCAAUCAGUGUGCAACAUGUUAAACCAGCCGUCACCACACAUCUCCUGCAUGGUAACCCGGAGCCCCAUGUAUCUCAUAGUCAGAUAUCGUUGUCUGCAACCUCACAAUGAACCGGUCUUCCAACACCACUGCUCUGCGUCCUUGUCUGGAGGAGCUCAGCUUAAGUUACCUAGGUGGAGUGUGGCAGCGUUGUUACAAACUCGAAUGCACCUGGAUACAUUUCACUCAGAGAAGUAAGACCUAAGGAAAUGUUGGUGGCCUCAUCUCAUGGUAUCCCGCCGAUGUAUUUUGAACCUCUGAUGCACGCCUCGCGCUCCCUCUGUAGAGAUGGAAGCUAUAAGUGACACUCUGACAUGUAUGGCUACCUCCUCCCCGUGGGUUCUUGUGUACAGACUGCCCACUGUAAGAGGUGCACAUGAGAGGCGUUGUGCACGGAUAUGGCAUCCUGGUGCUGCCUGGCUGUCAUCACAUUGUCGCUACGCUACGUGGUCGUCAUGGUGUGCUCACCCUGUUCGCUGUUGUCGUGGUGUCAUCACACUGUCGCUAAGCUACGUGGUCGUCAUGGUGUGACCACCCUGUUCGCUACGUGGUUGUCGUGGUGUCAUCACACUGUCGCUACGUUACGUGGUCGUCAUGGUGUGACCACCCUGUUCGCUACCUGGUUGUCGUGGUGUCAUCACACUGUCGCCAUCACACUGUUGCUACGCGGUCCUCAUUGUGUCAGCACACUGUUGCUACGCUACAUGGUCGUAUUGUUUUGAAGCCCUGGAGUUUAUUAAAUAUGGCACGGGAUGUUGACCCUUCACCCACAGCCGGAGGUAAUGGGGAGGGAGGACCCCCGAGGUGUGUAGAUGGGGGGGCCCCCCUGCCAGCCGGGUGGGUACUAGACCUGUACACUUGAGUGGAGUACAGAGUUCUUUAUUAUCCCCACAGGGGCCGAUCAUAUUGCAGCGAGCAGCUGAGGAAACCACAAACAUAAAGGCACAUGAGCAUAGAAAACCAUCAUUGAAUAACAGCAUCAGCAGUGAACAGUCGGUCUCCGCAGACACUCCAGCUCCACGGUUAGGCUGAGGUUAGCCUCAGGGAUGGAGGAGGGGAUCGAAUCGAUGACCACUGCCACAUCUAGGAAUUCCCAUAUCUACACCCUGCGGGACGAAGGGCAGACUGAAUAGAGUGUGUGUGUCUAGUCACUUUUCUGGUAGUGACUGGAUUAGUGUCAUUUCUGAACACAUCCUCACCAGUAGUGAAGGGGUAGCAUCAGUUAGAUUUGGCCUGAUUUAGUCUAUAAUGUAAGUAAAAUUUGAUAUUCUCAAGUCACAGGAGCCUGACAAACUGAAAGAGGAAAGCACAUCAACAUUAGCAUUUCUGAAGCUUAAAUUGCAAAUUUUUGUAUUUUUGACUUAAUACAUUAACAAACUAAUGAAUUAUUUAUCUAAAUUAUAUCUGUUAAUCCUAACGGCACAAGAGGGCUACAGCUUUAGAAGUGGAAAUUACGCAUGGUGAGAUUGUAGUGCUAAUAAUUAAAUGCUAUGGCUGCAAGUCCUCUGAAACUAAGAAAAUCAACUUUAACAGUUUUGUAUCAACAUUCAUCUUCCUGUGUUGUAUUUUGUCUGUUUGAUGUGAACCUGCACUAUUAAACUUCUGCUGAUUAUUUUUGCUACCGGUAAAUAAAUAUCUGAAGCAAACAUUUCUUAAGAAAACGUGCCAAUUAUUCAAUGCAUCCAGUGAAGUUCUCUAUUAUUCAUAUUAUUCUGGUCCACUUUUGCCCUUCCCCUGCUAUUGGGUGCACUUGCAUAGUGCCAGUAUAACCAGGUAAGCAAAUUGGAAGUUGGAUAUGUUUAACUUUAUAUUUUGAAUACUUUUCACAGUGCAGCUUCCAACCCAAAGUGAACAUCUUCUCUUGGAAAAACAGUUAUGUUCUAUUCAAGGAAAUGUUCCGUGAUCUCCUUCACAAACCUUCCAUGACCUGAACUUCCUCUAUUUAGAAGAGGCGCUGACAGAAAAAAAGCUAAAUGUACAAUAUUUCUUUUUUUCAACAAUUUGGGAGGCCUGUUCUUGUAUAUUUCAGCGGCAAUCACACAGCAGCUUCUCCAGGCCAUGUUUUUGAUUGGUUCAAAUUGGGGCACGGUGAUGUCAACAGCUGUUGGGGCCAUCACUUGCCAAUCAGAAGCAUUGUUUACUGAAAAAAAUAAAACCUAUUCUUGCCACUCUAAACCAACCAACAACUUAUUCCCUUAUUCACUUGUUGGCAAUUAAAAAACAAGUUCCGCUUCAACAUAGAGAACUGGAUGCUGUGCCUUAAUAAGUCCUGGCAUCUUCAUGCAAACACCUUCUAAAAUCAUGGUCAUUCUGCUGGCCUAUAAGAGGUCAGAACCCCCGUAGCCGUAUUAAUGAGUUGCUUAAGAAAAGAGACUUUCAGAUCACUAACACUAUUAUUUGUCUGCAUGCUCCCGUGAUAUUACCUAAACAGCAUACCUCAAAUAAUUGCAACACGAUUGUUUGAACUACCAACGUUGGAACAUGUGACGAUCUUGCUUUUUUUUUUUUUUAAACCCCUCUUCCUCCGAGCUCACGAUUUCCGUAACGACAAAUGCUAUGAAUACUAAUUAAACGGCUGCAUGUGGGUGCAUGGAUCAUUGCUCUCCGCUGAUUAAGGAACGAUAGGAGAGACUAUAUAAAUCAAAGACAACCUACCCAUCUAAUUAGCUGGCCCAGCCAUUAAAUCCACUAACAAGCAACCGAGGUGAUUCUUCCCCACAUAAUCUUCCCCGUGAUUACAUGAUGCCGAUGCGACCGUCGAACUCUCUGUUCGUCUCUGUUGUCACGGUAAAAAAUGAAAAGCGGACCGUGAAAGUAGGGUUGGACAUAAACGACUAGCCCAUCUCUGAUUAAGGGAAUGCAGUAGGUAGAUGAGUGGAGGAGUCGUUACAAUUUUGUGCUCGAACAACAGCCAUAAUUCAUACUUUUUUUCUUCACUUGUUCCCAAGGGCAUACAGGGGACCUGGUCAUUUCAAUUACAGAAUUGUGUUACGCAGUUUUGACCAAUUUUAAUAUUCCUUUUUAUAUCAAUUAAUUAUCCCUGACAGCAACAUUAUAUCAAGGUAUAAACCGUGAGUAUGAAGGACGGACCAUUACCUUAUGUUUUUAAUUACUUCCGCAUCAUUUAUGUGUCGCACCCCCCCCUCCCCCCCCCCAAUUUGCACAUCAGCUAGCUAACCCACAACGCGGACAAACUACAGCUCAGCUCAAAACCUUGGCAGCUAGCAGGCUAGCGGCUAGUCCAGGACUUGCCCUCCAGGCACAUCGACUCCGGGGUUAAUGGCUAACAUGCUAACAUACUGUCUCUCACAGAGGGGAAGAUGCUCAUCAGUGUGGUUGUUAUUUUUGUACCUUGGAGGAAAAUGUGCUGACUCCCCAAAGUAAGAGCGUGUGUCGUCACCUGGCAGCGGCUUGAUCUUGGACCCCCCUGCCCCGACUUCCUGGGGAUAAUCGUGAGAGAACCAGCAGGAGAAGAUAAUGAGAGGGGAGGGUGGCUUAGUAUAGCUUUAUUUAUUUGUCAUUGUGUUUGCUCUUCCCUUUGUGUUAUAAUGAGCCUUAAGUACUCAGAAAAGCAUUGUUGAAAUCCAAGCUUGUUAUCAGUUUUUGUUGAAUGCAAUUCAUUAUGAAUCAUAAUAAAAUAAAUCGCAAUAGGCCUAUCCUUUUCAAUAUGUAGUUUAUUAUUAUGCAUUGUUGUAACUACCACCGCCAG
ensembl:lncRNA